AUAAAAUUAAAAAAAAUAAAAAUACAAAAAUUAGCCAGGUAUGGUAGUGGGUGCCUGUAAUCCCAGCUACUUGGGAUGCUGAGGCAGGAGAAUUGCUUGAACCCGGGAGGCAGAGAUUGCAGUGAGCUGAGAUCGCACUACCGCCCUCCAGCUUGGGGCACAGAGCAAGACUCCAUCUCAGGGGGGAAAAAUGUUUUUACCUUGAAAAUUUUCCAACCCAACAAAAAAUUGCAAGAAUUAUACAUUAAACAUCCUAUAUGUGUCACCUAGAUUUGUUUUCAGCAUUUUCUGGCCUUUGCUUUAUCAGUUUCUAUACAGUGAUUUUUUUUUUUAAUGAACUAUUUGAGGGUAAGUUGCAGACUCUUUGCCCCUAAAUCUCCAAAGAACAAAGACAUUCUCCUAUGAAACCACAGUACUGUGAUCAAAAAAUCAGGAAGUAUACCAUUGAUACAAUGGUGUUAGCUAAUGUACAGUCCAUAUUCAAAUUUCUCUGAUUGAUCUGACAAUAUCCUUUACCGUGCAUUUUCUCCUCAGAUCCAGGAUCAUGUGCUGUCUUUAGCAGGCUGUGAUCUGGAACACUCCUUAGUCUGUCUUUGUCCUUCAGGAGAGACAUUGACAUUUUUGGAGAGCACGAGCAGGGUAUUUUGUAGACGGCCCCUCAGGUGGGUUUGUCUAAGGCCACCUCCUGACUCACUGCAGGCUCUGCAAGAAUGUCACCUGCGUGCUGCUCUGUCCCCGGUGCCUGUGGUGCCAUGUCACGGGGAGCUGUGAUUGCUGGUGAACAGCAGGCGUCUCCUCUGCAAAGAGAUGGGAGUCUCGCUAUGAUGCCCAGGCUGGUCUCGAACUCCCGAGCUCAAGUGAUCUGACCUCCCAAAGUGCUGGAAUUACAGGCAUGAGCCACCGCGCCCUGUCUUCCUUUGUUUGUGUUGAUUACGAAUACAUUCACUUGCAAAAAAUAACAAAAAAAACCCCCAGAAAAUCCGAUCAACAGAGACGUAAACAAAUAGGUGUUUCGUUGUGUGUGUGUUUUUUUGUUUUUUUUUGUUUUUCAUGGAACACAAGCUCGAAGCAGGCAGUUGCAAGCAUGAGGGAACUUGACUUUGCCAUCCCUAUACUGACCUUUUUAUUCUGAUGCUUCGGCCUCAUAGGCACAAGAUGGCUGCCAUAGCUCUAAUCAUCACACUGGGGCUCGAGGCAAGCAAAGGUGAGAGAAAUGUCUAGGGCCAUGCUAACUGUAUCUGUCUCUUCAUCAGGGCAGCAAAAGCUUUUCCAGAAAUCCCCCCAGCAGACUUCCACUUUAAGAGUGAUUGGCCUGAAUUGGGUCAAAUGUCUAGUACAAGAGGCUAGGAAGUUAAAACAGUCAUGAUUGGCUUAGAACACUGAUUCACAAAUGAAUCUGUAGGGGUGGGUUGCCCCUCCACACCUGUGGGUGUUUCUCGUAAGGUGGAACGAGAGACUUAGGAAAGAAAAAGACACAGAGACAAAGUGUAGAGAAAGAAAUAAGGGGACCCGGGGAACCAGCGUUCAGCAUAUGGAGGAUCCCGCCAGCCUCUGAGUUCCCUUAGUAUUUAUUGAUCAUUCGUGGGUGUUUCUCCGAGAGGGGGAUGUGUCAGGGUCACAAAACAAUAGUGGGGAGAGGGUCAGCAGACAAACACG
rnacentral:lncRNA from 1 species